rnacentral:rRNA from 1 species
CCUACGGGUGGCAGCAGUGGGGAAUAUUGGACAAUGGGGGGAACCCUGAUCCAGCCAUGCCGCGUGUGUGAAGAAGGCCCUCGGGUUGUAAAGCACUUUCAGUGAGGAAGAACGCCUGGUGGUUAAUACCCAUCAGGAAAGACAUCACUCACAGAAGAAGCACCGGCUAACUCCGUGCCAGCAGCCGCGGUAAUACGGAGGGUGCGAGCGUUAAUCGGAAUUACUGGGCGUAAAGCGCGCGUAGGUGGCUUGAUAAGCCGGUUGUGAAAGCCCCGGGCUCAACCUGGGAACGGCAUCCGGAACUGUCAAGCUAGAGUGCAGGAGAGGAAGGUAGAAUUCCCGGUGUAGCGGUGAAAUGCGUAGAGAUCGGGAGGAAUACCAGUGGCGAAGGCGGCCUUCUGGACUGACACUGACACUGAGGUGCGAAAGCGUGGGUAGCAAACAGGAUUAGCUACCCCAGUAGUC